UACGGGGGGGGCAAGCGUUGUUCGGAAUUACUGGGCGUAAAGGGCUCGUAGGCGGCCAACUAAGUCAGACGUGAAAUCCCUCGGCUUAACCGGGGAACUGCGUCUGAUACUGGAUGGCUUGAAUCCGGGAGAGGGAUGCGGAAUUCCAGGUGUAGCGGUGAAAUGCGUAGAUAUCAGGAGGAACACCAAUGGCGAAGGCAGCUCGCUGGAACGGUACUGACGCUGAGGCGCGAAAGCGUGGGGAGCAAACAGG
rnacentral:rRNA from 1 species